rnacentral:rRNA from 1 species
GACGAACGCUGGCGGCGUGCUUAACACAUGCAAGUCGAACGGAAAGGCCCUGCUUUUGUGGGGUGCUCGAGUGGCGAACGGGUGAGUAACACGUGAGUAACCUGCCCUUGUCUUUGGGAUAACUUCAGGAAACUGGGGCUAAUACCGGAUAGGAGCUCCUGCUGCAUGGUGGGGGUUGGAAAGUUUCGGCGGUUGGGGAUGGACUCGCGGCUUAUCAGCUUGUUGGUGGGGUAGUGGCUUACCAAGGCUUUGACGGGUAGCCGGCCUGAGAGGGUGACCGGCCACAUGGGGACUGAGAUACGGCCCAGACUCCUACGGGAGGCAGCAGUGGGGAAUAUUGCACAAUGGGCGGAAGCCUGAUGCAGCAACGCCGCGUGCGGGAUGACGGCCUACGGGUUGUAAACCGCUGUCGCCUGAGACGAAGCGGGAGUGACGGUAAUGGGUAAAGAAGCACCGGCUAACUACGUG